rnacentral:ncRNA from 1 species
CAACAUAUCAUCGGUGAGAAUUCUGACGUGGAGGACAAGCUAUGUGAAGAAUUCACAAUUGGGCUCGCAGUGACCAGGCUGGGUGACUAUUUAUGGUCUACGCAAAGUCAUAAGGCCAUGUAUAAGGGGUGACGCAUGCCAAAUGUCGGAAAGUCAAGAAAGUUGGUGAACUGAUGACAAGGAAGCCGACGUUCAAAGCCCCGAUUGAUGGCAACCGUAAGUAUAACGGUUAUAAGGUAACAAAAUUCCUUGUCGAAGAAGUUCCGAGAUGUACGAAAUACAUAACGAUCUGGGCAUUG